GCUCCUCCCUCUGCGUUUUAUGCUUCUCCAUUCCCUCCCAGAGCGAUUCCACUUGAAGUCGAAGAAGGCGAUUCCAUCCCUCAAAGCGCCUCCGUCGAAGAUGGCACGUCCCUCCCAUCAAAGCCGCCGCCUUCUCUCCCUCAGUGUCUUGAUGGUUCUCUGAGACCCACACUGAAGUUCUGCCUUUAUUCGACCAAGGACCAAGGAGCCCCGCCACCGCACCACCGCACUCCAACUCCAAGGACUGGAAAUUGCCGAGUUGACUCAGAACCAGGGCGAUGAUGAGAGGAAAAGUUGGGCCUCUUUUCAAGAGUGCAUAGCCAAGGCCCUUGAACAGGUGUUAAGGGGACCUUAAUCGACGCAGGCCUUGCUGCUACCUAUUUUUCAUGCCUUGUUACUGUCCAAAUAAAAAAUGACAAGUCUUAUAACGCUUAUGUGACAGAAUAAGCAUUAUUAUGGUCAUAAGUUUGCUCUAGAAGCCUAGCAAACUGAUGUAAAAGCUUAAUUCCUUCGUAGUUUUCUUUCAUUGUCUGCUGAUAGUUCUUAUUACAAGUGACUUUAUGCUCACAUUCGCAUGCAGAGUCCUUAUAAUCUGGGCUUCUUGAG